UGGGGAAUUUUGGACAAUGGGCGCAAGCCUGAUCCAGCAAUGCCGCGUGAGUGAAGAAGGCCUUCGGGAUGUAAAGCUCUUCUGUCAGGGAAGAAACGGCCGAGACUAAUAUUCUUGGCUAAUGACGGUACCUGAAGAAUAAGCACCAGCUAACUACGUGCCAGCAGCCGCGGUAAUACGUAGGGUGCAGGCGUUAAUCGGAAUUACUGGGCGUAAAGCGUGCGCAGGCGGUUUGUUAAGACAGAUGUGAAAUCCCCGGGCUUAACCUGGGAACUGCGUUUGUAACUGGCAGACUGGAGUGUGGCAGAGGGGGGUGGAAUUCCAAGUGUAGCAGUGAAAUGCGUAGAUAUUUGGAGGAACACCGAUGGCGAAGGCAGCCCCCUGGGCUAACACUGACGCUCAUGCACGAAAGCGUGGGGAGCAAA
rnacentral:rRNA from 1 species